GGGAGGCCGGACCGGGAGCCGAGCGGCGGCGGCGGCCGAGGGGCCGGCAAUGGCGGAGCUGGUGCAGGGGCAGAGCGCUCCGGUGGGCAUGAAGGCCGAGGGCUUCGUGGACGCCUUGCACCGAGUCCGGCAGAUUGCUGCUAAAAUUGAUUCAAUUCCUCACUUGAAUAAUUCCACACCUCUAGUGGGCCCCUCUGUGUAUGGAUACGGAGUACAGACACGGCCCUUGGGUGAUGGAGUAGGUAACCAGUUAGGGGCCUUGGUACAUCAAAGGGCAGUAAUAACAGAGGAAUUCAAAGUGCCUGAUAAAAUGGUUGGAUUUAUUAUCGGCAGGGGAGGUGAGCAGAUUUCACGGAUUCAAGCAGAAUCUGGUUGCAAAAUUCAGAUUGCUUCAGAGAGUUCUAGGAUUCCAGAGAGGCCCUGUGUACUUACCGGAACCCCAGAAAGUACUGAACAAGCCAAACGGCUCCUGGGGCAGAUUGUGGGCCGCUGUCGGAAUGGACCUGGCUUUCAUAAUGACAUAGACGGCAACAGCACAAUCCAGGAGAUUCUUAUUCCUGCGUCUAAAGUGGGUCUGGUCAUCGGCAAAGGAGGGGAGACAAUAAAGCAGUUGCAGGAGCGGGCAGGUGUGAAGAUGGUUAUGAUCCAGGAUGGCCCGUUGCCCACAGGAGCAGACAAGCCUCUUCGCGUUGCUGGAGACCCAUUCAGAGUGCAGCAAGCAAGAGAAAUGGUGCUGGAAUUCAUCCGGGGAAAAGACCAGGCUGACUUUCGAGGUGUACGUGGUGAUUUCAACUCCCGAAUGGGCGGAGGCAGUAUAGAGGUGUCCGUGCCUAGGUUUGCUGUUGGGAUUGUUAUAGGAAGAAACGGGGAAAUGAUCAAAAAGAUCCAGAAUGAUGCCGGUGUGAGGAUUCAGUUUAAACCAGAUGAUGGGAUCAGUCCAGAGAGGGCUGCACAGGUCGUGGGCCCUCUAGAUUGGUGUCAGCAUGCAGCACACAUCAUCAAUGAGCUGAUUCUUACAGCCCAGGAAAGAGAUGGCUUCGGAGGCCUGGCCGUCGCCAGAGGAAGAGGCCGCGGCCGUGGUGACUGGAGCGUGGGAACCCCUGGUGGCGUCCAAGAGAUAGCAUACACGGUGCCUGCAGAUAAGUGUGGCCUCGUUAUAGGCAAAGGGGGUGAGAACAUCAAAAGCAUAAAUCAGCAGUCAGGAGCACAUGUGGAGCUUCAGCGGAACCCCCCGCCCAACACCGACCCCAACCUGCGAAUAUUCACCAUCAGGGGCGUUCCUCAGCGGAUCGAGGUGGCCAGGCAUCUCAUAGAUGAGAAAGUUGGUGGGACCAGUGUUGGAGCACCUGGGGCCUUUGGACAGAGUCCCUUCAGCCAGCCUGCCGCACCUCAUCAAAGUGGUCCUCCAGCCUUUUUGACCCAGGGCUGGGGCAGCACCUUCCAGGCAUGGCAGCAGCCCACACAGCAGGUCCCAAGCCAGCAGAGCCAGCCGCAGAGCAGCCAGCCCGACUACAGCAAGGCCUGGGAAGACUAUUACAAAAAACAGAGUCACGCCGCCAGCACCGCCCCUCAGGCCAGCUCCCCACUGGACUACACCAUGGCCUGGGCCGAGUACUACAGGCAGCAGGUGGCCUUCUACGGGCAGACACUAGGCCAAGCUCAGGCCCACAGCCAGGAGCAGUAGAACAGUGUGCUCUCGGCUGGCCUCUCCUCUCGAAUCAUUGUGAAAGAAAACCUAUUUGUAACAGGUUUUUAGACUUGCAAACCUUUUGAUGAAGAACCUUUAUUUUGUUCUGUGAAACACUAUAUUUAGAUUAACAGAAUUUUUCUAAAAAUCGGGGAAAUUAGUUACUAAAAAUUGCUGAUCAUUUUUGCUUCAUUAUUUUUGUUUGUUACUUGUGUAAGCUCUGGGAUUCUUUUUGGAGCAAUACCUGCAAAUUCAGGCACCAGAACGUGCCUCAGAGCAGUGACAUUUCAACAUGGUGUUUUUUUGUUUUGUUUCGUUUCAUUUUGUGUCCUUUUUAUUUACAGUUUUUUCUGUUGCAACAGAAAGUGGCUUGGAAGUCUUAGGUAGUAUGUAACAAAUUCUUUUUUAAAAUUUUUAAACAGUAUUUAAGUAUUCUUAAAUGUGU